rnacentral:sRNA from 1 species
AUUUAGCCCUGAUAGCAGCGGCAUCCUUUUUUUUUAAAAACUCACUUUAUUGUAUGCACCAACUCUAAUUUAACAACUUUUUUCAAAGCUAUAAAAACUAGCUUUUACUAAAAAAAGAUAUAGCGAAUAGCAGGAUUAGCU